CUAUCACCAGUGCUGAGACUUCUCAUUGAGCUGCAUUGUGAAGUCUGUGAUUGGACAGCCACAGAAUGUCUGGACUGGAGAAGAAGGGGAGGGCUUGUGCAAGCGGUUUUAAGAUAAACCCUCAAUGAAAAUAUGCAAAAUAAAUACAUGCAUGUUUUAACUGGGGGAAUAUCUACUAAACAAUUAUUAUUAAUCCCAAACAUGGAAACCCUUCAUUUGCAUCUUUAAGAGCAAGA